CAGAAUGUGCUUUGUGAAGUUCCUGCCUCGUUCCAUGUAGCCUGCUCCCUCCUUCUGAAGUCUUUGCACCUCCAAGUUCUUAUGGAGUUGCUGAGAGCAUAGUAAAAGGGCUGGUUAAUAAAAGUAGAGUAAAAAUUACAUGAGGUACUGUAAGAAGGCAUUUAGCAUGUACCUGGAAAAACAACAGUUUUAUUUAUAUAUGUAUAUUAAAUAAAAAAAGUAUUCUCUUUAUUGCUUAUGGGAAGCAGAACUUCCAGACUGCAAGUCUGACAAAUUUAACCUGGAAUUGCUGGUUUGCUACUGAAGUAAAAAUAGUGCAUUUGGAAUUACAUUUUAAAUUACCUUCCUUAUGGAAGGCAAACCUUAUAAGACGUUAUUUUCAAGGCAAAGGUAGGAACAGAGAGCAGUGAUUUACUUUGCUCAGCAUGGGUUUGUUGUGCACCAAAUUUGUUUGCACUCCUUUUAAAGUCACUUUUCAUAGGAGCGCCGAUUUGAGGAUAACAACCAAACAAAUGGGUCUGUGUGUUUGUAGGAGCCAACUGUGCUUGUUGCUGUUCUCUAGCAGUAUCUGUUGGGAGUUGCGCAUGCAUUUUCCCUGAAUAUCAAAAUAGAGGUGUACCUAAAAAUUGCUGUACCUGAAAAAUGGAGCUCAAUCCUAUCUGUUUAGUACCCAGUAAAUUAGCUACCAACUGGCAUAGCCAUGUUGUAGGGUCCAAUUCUUCCUGCAAUACAGAAGUUAUUUCACACUAUAGGUGGUUGUUCUCUUUACAUAUAGCACCUUUCAGUGAUAAUCAUGUGGUACAAUGUUGGAAAUACACAAUGUUAAUGACAGAACCAAGCUUGGGGUGCACAAUACUUUUUUUGUCUCAUCAAAUGUGCUUAAGUGACGAUCUCAUUCUAUUUUUGUCUGGAAAGUUGAAUAAAGAGAUGAAAGGAAAUGAGAGAUCAUAGUCCUGAUAUUUAAAAAGAGAAAGGAGGAAAAAAAAGUACAGAGAUCUGCUUCAAUUCUUUCCACCCCAUCUUCUAAACUAAUUCUGCCUCUGAGGAGCAUACUGGAGGAAAGGGAAAAAUCUGGAUGGACUUGCUACAUGUGGUUUCCUUCUGGCUCAAGCUGACCCAGCAACAGGGGGAGAUCUCACAGCGGAACAGAUGUUGUGUUCUUCAGAGAAAGUAUGAAUUGCUUCCUCUAAACAGAUUGAUCUAAAAGUCUGAGGGCUAUGAGGCAAGGGGAAAACAUUAAAAAAACAAUAGCAACAGCAAAAACAGUGCUUUGGAAAUGUAAUGCAGAAAGGGAGCUCAAGAACUCUGUAGGUCGUUUGCUUUGCCUCCAAGAAAAUGGUUGUUCAGGCUCUGGCCUUCCAGCACGUCAGCAGUCCUGCUGCUGCUUGUUUUCCUGAGAAGCAUUUCAAGAGCAAGCUCUCAGAGGCACUUGAUGAAGUUUUUUCCUCUGGAUUCCAGUUUGCUUACCUCCCUUCUAGUAAGGUGCCUGAAACAGCGUUAUAGUCUGGUUGAGAUCUCACCAAUACUUCAAAGCUAUCGACUGGAGAGCUGAGUAAAUAUCAGUCUUGUUACAUGAGAAGAUAACACUAGGAAUAUAUUCUCCUGGAAAAAAAGCAGCAAACAAGGACAAAGAAUGGUAUGUAUAUAUGUAAAACAGCAUUUUCUUUGUGUAUUCCUGCAUUCAUCUUUGAAUGUUUCAUCUCCUGAAGAUUUGAAUCCGGCCUGGCUGGACAGAGUUGAGAGUUGGAGCACUCCUGGGAGCUGGUAGAGCUGCUGGCCUUUCCAAAGCGGGCAGAAAGUCUGAAACUACAUCAAACUAGGGACAAAUAGAUACAAAGCUAGAAAGUCUGGAAAGAAUUAGGUACAGCUUUUGACGUCUGACUACUGUUUUCUUUCCACGGCAAUAUUAGAUGCCCUUUCUCACUGUGCUUUAAUCAACAAAAUAGCUAUUUCUGUUUAAAACUGAUAUGCUGAAACAGAAUAUUUGUUCAGAAGGAAAAGUUUCAGUCAUUCAGUCUGUACUUCCUUUGCUUCUAAAAUUACAAAAUAAGUACAGUUGAAUCUGAUCUCAAAAUGAUGAAGGGUGCUGAUGACCACAAAUAAUCUGAGGUGAAUGCUGCAGUUUUCUGUUUCAUUCUCAACAGUAAAACGCACAGUCUUCGAAUAAUGACUUGUGCUAUAGGACAAGUCUUCAUACCACUUAUAUGAAGUUUCCAGUUUCUUCUCCACACUGAUUUUCUGAAUAAGUCUCUUAAGACAGAAACAGAGCCACUGGUUAAAAUUAUGCUUUGUAUUUUGUUUGUCUUUUGUAGGAAAUAAGAUGACAUUCCCACAUACAGUGUAUAUUGUAGGGACAUCCCUAACUUACUGCAGCAAUCGAGGAGAGGCCAACAGCAAUUCUGCUGGAAAGUCCAAAGCUCACUGUAAAGGACUCCCAAAUAGGGUUACAGCCACUUUCCACUGGUCUUAUGUCAGUAACCCUUCAAAAUAAAACCAAGGUGGGAACUCAUAAUGGCAGAGGUGUGACUUCAGUAUGUUACAUUCUGAAUCCCACUGAAUGUACUCCACAUAAAUGUUGAAUGUGUUUAAGUUCCUCAGGUUGUUAGAACACUGCUGUAGCUGAAUAGGAUAGAUUUAUGAUUGUAAUGAUGAGGUAAUAAUAAAUUCCUUUGUAUUCAGAAUAUGUCCAAGCUGUGUGACAAAAAUACAUAGCACUAGCUUCCCCUCCUGGCCAGAAGUAGUAAGUGAUCUUGAAGGUGAGACACCCAAAUUAUUUCUCUUUUUUACCUUUAUACGCGAAAGAUAGAAAUGCUAGUUUUCAGAGAACAAAUUAAUACUUAACUGCUAAUGAGAGGGAAGGAAAAAAGUGCUGGUGAGACAUCUUGAUUGGAAUCAGAGUACAAUGAUGGAUCGAGAUAGGGUUACUGUUGGAAGAUGCAGUUCUUCUCUAAACGUGGGCCUAAUUUGUAAAGUAACUAGAUAAAAAUAAUAAAUUUUGGACAGAAAAAUUCCUGCAGUCCCUUUUAGACCCCUAUUAGCUGGUGCUAGAUACAAAUAUUUUACUGCUUUCCAUAUUUUGUAUGCUAAUCUUCCCUGUGCAGCUGCGUCUGUUAUGAUUUUAACUUUUAUUUUGGGGUUUCCCUUUUCUUGCUUGCCUUUUUGUUUUUACAAUAAGACAUCUUUCUUUCAUUUUAAUUCUAGGGUACAAUAUUUUGUAGCAUUAGCAUAAAUUUUGUAAAUACAGAUGUACUGGCAUAAAGGUGUUUAUUUUGUGGCAUAAGGCAACAAUGCACAAUAUGAUCCAAAAUGAUUUUUAAAAAGCUAUUGCUAAGUUAGUUUGCCAGCCUCUUACAAUGUUGUACUGCAACCCUUUUGGCUGGUUUGAUCAUGUAAUAUUGAAUCUUAGCAGAAUCUUUCCUCUUUGUUGUUCUCUUCCAUCUGCUACAGCUGCCUGGAAAAUUGGACAUUUAAAUCUCUAAAUAAUUUUGCAUUGUAAGAAGACUGAAGUCUUGCUUUUGUGGGCAUGUUGGAGAUGAAGCAUGCAAGUGCAGCAUGCAGGCACAUAGAUGCAUAUGAGAAAAACAACUUCCCGCAUGAUAAAUGAUAGCCUCAUGUUUAAGAUGCUUACGUUGACUGCAGGAAACAGGCUUCUCUGUUUAUAUCGGGGGGUUGGUCUGAAUUGGAAAUAUUUAGGUUUUCCAAUAUCUCAGUCUUGAAUGCCAAUUAUCACAUUUAUCAUGGGCGUGGUCUUCCUCUUCAUCUUGGCUGUAAGUGUCAUCCUGGAACUGAAAAUGUGUCUUGAUAUGUUUUGCUGCUAUUGUUAUGUUCCUGUGGUCACUCCUGCCCACUAUCUCACUUCCACCAAUUGUCUUUUUCACCUGCUUGUGAACCAUUCAGCACAGGGAUGUUGAAACAAAGAUCUCUGAGCACUUAUGCUGUUAGAGAUGCAGGGAAAAAACAUUUGAAUGCAUGAAAGACUUCAUCUUUACUCUUAAUGCUGUUUAACAUUGUUGUUCAAAGUUGUAAACUGUUAUGCAUUCAUCAUUCAUUCUUUGCCCUAAUGUAUGCUUUACUUUGUGAACUAAGGUUUUUCUUCUUGCUGUAUAAGAUUGUGCUAAUUUCAUACAAAGCUAAUAAAUGUUUUACACAUUGGGAUGGCAGGGGAGGGAGGCAGGAGGUUGUAUUUCACUUGCAAGUGUCAGUCCUUUGUUUCCAUCUUGGUCAAGUUUGAAAGAACUUAGGAACUGCAGCCAAUCAGUCAUUUCUUUAGGCACAAAGUAGCUGGGAAUUAUGAUAUCUUGUCAAAUUCAAGUGUCAGAUCGUAUUAUCCUUUCUUAUGUUUACUAAUAUGCUUGCUAUGGUUUCAUUGCUGUAAUAAAAGUAAUCAGGAGGAGGCAAUUAAUGAUUUCCUUUUCAGCUGUGCAAUAAUGGACUACAUGAGAAAUAUUUUUGUCAUGAGCCAUAGAUGGCUAUGGAGGAAACCAUUCUUUAAGCCAAAUUUUUAAAUACAUUAUUAAUUGAAAGAAAAAAAUAGUAUUUUACUGACAAGUGACAUGUCCUUGCAGGCUUAUAAUUUUAACAACAAAUAAGUCUUGGAGAACAUUAUUUAAUUUGCCUUUGAAGCCAUUAGUCUGUAUGAAUUAGCAUAGUUUUCUUGUCCAUAUAGUUAUUUACAAAUAAAUUCACAGAAAACAUAAUUGCUUUUAGAAGAUAAACUUUUUUUUAUCUGUCCCUUUCACAUGUCAUUUUAGACCAGGCAGUUCAUCAUGAACUGUUGAAAAACUUCUGCAGAAAUGGUAGAAAGUUUUCCAGUAGUGAUUGAUGUCAUUUCUCACUAAUGUGCAGUCAUUGCUCAGUUUAUACCAAAAAGAAAAUGUUGAAGUCACUGUUGUAAAGUUCUGUGAAUAAACUUCAGCUCCCUUGCUUAUAAAAAUGUUAUACAAAUAUAAACCAUAGUGGUUUAAGAUGCUUUUUUCCUCCUCUUUCUUCAGAUACUCUCAUAGGUCUCAGCCACAGUUCGGAGAGCAAAUUUCUUUUUCCCAAGUUCACCAGGCAGCUCUAACAGCUCUGGCAACCUUACAGCUCCUCACCAGCAUGGGUACAAUGAAUCUGUACAACAGUUGGAGUCAUCCCCUAUUUGUAGGCUGCUGAACCAGGAAAGCUGGGGUAAGGCUUUUGUCUCCAGACCUAGCCAGAGAGACGACUUACUGCUCUGUCCUAAAACCUUCAAGUGCCCCUACACAGCAAACACCUGCUUGUAUAGCUGUUAAUGAGCCUUUGGGGAAAUUCACUUCUUUUAUGCUGUUUCCUUGCCUGAGUCAUGAACGUAAAACCCGAGUCCUGAGGUCAUGAUACAUUUAAACAGGUAAACAUUCAGAUGUGAAUAUGCUUCCAUUGCUUUUUUUCAGGUGUCCAGUUAUCUUUAAAAUGAUGGGGAAGGAUUUUUUUUGUUAGAAGUUCUGAGACUGUUCUUAUUUAAAGGCUACUGCUCUUUACUGAAAAUAAGGCUGUAAUCAGCAGGUACCUUGCUUAGUGUUGCUCUGCAAAGCUCGGAUUGAUUCAGAUUUUUCUCUGUGUGAGAACUCAAGUGAAUUGUAGGGGUGUCCUCUGAAAUAAAGGACAAGUGCUCAUUCAGUCACCACUGUAGUUUCAGUUGGUACUGUAGCAGGGACUGUAGUUAUUCUGUAAUUUGCCUAAGCAUGACAUGCAGGCAGGAUUUAAUCCACACCACAAAUAAACACUUGCUUAUUGCUCUGGUUGGCAGUAGCAGGUUGCAAUGGAAGAGAACCCCUCAUUUCUCCUGUGCUCUGGGAUGCAACGUGUCAGCUCUCAGCCACGAAAGGGGAAGUGCUGCAUUGCUGGUUCCUGGGAGCUGGGGGACAGGCAUGUAGUGUUUGCAGGAGGGAGCCUGACAGAGUUUGGGUCCUGAGUUUGGAUCUACAUUAUGUCAGCCAAAAUUUUUAAUGUAGUCUAAGGAGUAUGACUGUUUCUUGAACUUAUCAUAGCAAUAAAACCACUAGUCUGGUUGUAAUCAUACUAGCCAAAAGCAUGCAUUUGCAAGUAUGAGGGUGGAGUAUUUAGAGGCAGAAUGGAGAAAUAUUGGAGUGAGUGAGUGAGAGUAAAAAAAGACCCAGUGCUAUACUGCAAGUGCAAUGUGAGUAGUCAGCAUAGGAAUUGCCACUGAAUUUGUAUUCCUGAAUGAGAAGUUCUUUAGCAAUAAGGCAUAGUGGAGAAAGCAUUUUGGGGGUAUGGUAGAGCCUUAAAUACCACGCCAUCCUCACAGGGGGAGAAUGAAGUAAUGAAAUAAAACCACGUCUUUAAGAAAUUGUCAUUGCUUUUUGUAAGUGACGUGCAUUUCAUAAUUCUGGAACCAUAACCAGUAACGUGUAGUCAUGCCAGACCUUUUAACAUACAGACGGAAGGGCCAAUAGAGGUAGUUCCUAGAUACAGAAAAAUUACAUCUUUACAUAUUUGGGAAAAAGCCAGUGAGUUUCAAGCUGGUGCUGUUCAUUUGAUUUCAUCAGUUAUUUGUCCUGUUGUAAUUUCCUUUUAAUAUUUUUCAUUUAGAUAGUAGAGAAUCUUACUUUUGUACUUUUGCAACACACUGCUUGUAUCUGUAUCUAUGAAUGGAUUAAAUAAUGUAGUUAUAAUAAUAAUGUGCACAAGGAUUGCUUCAGAACUUCUUAAGGAGAUGAGCAGAGCAGUGGAAACUGGAGUGCUGCCAGAGAAAGGAAGCACUAACGGAUGGCAAAGAUGUUAAUGAUAAUACUGUUUGUCUUGUGAGAAGUUACAGAAGUCUAUUUUUCUAUUAUAACGAUUGUGAUUCAACUGAACACUUUGUUCAAAAGAUCUGCACAAAGACUAGUGUAUCCUCACACACCCCUGCUCCAUGGUGCAAUAUUUUAUAACACUUGGCUCAGAAUGAAGACUGCCGUUUCACAAGUAACUAGCAGUACUGUUUUCUUAAACAUCUGGGGUAGAUUUACAAUAAGGAGGUUAAGACCGGAUCAGUUGCAGACUGUGAUGAUAACUAGGGGAUACACAUUUUUAUUCUUCUAACAUCUCUGGGGAAAAGAAGCAGGGGGAACACAAUAGAAAGACGACUUGCAUUUGAAAUAAAAACAAAUAGAAAAUACGAGGGAAGCAAGCAUGAGGCUGAGUGACUUUGAAAGCUACUGAAGGACUCUCCUGAAUACCUCAGCCAGGAUGUUGUGUGAAUUAAUAACAACUGGGUAAAGGAACACAUGAGCCCGCAGAACUCCUUGUGUUGGAAGUGAGAAUGCAGAAAGCCAGUUAAGCUGACCAAAAUUCAGUGGGUUGGGUGUAGUAAAGACCAAAAAGAUGCAUGUUUGGUCUCUUACUGUAUGUGACAAUAAGGAAAACAUGAAAACACUAUAGUAGGACAGGAUGCAGAUCGAGGAGACUCAGGAUAUGGUACAGCUUCUAAGGAAGUCCUUUGCCUAUUUUAGAUGAGGUCAGAGUAAUAUAAAAUCAGAGAUGCAAGAAAAGCACAUGAUUGUGGGAAAGCUGCACAAUCUCUAUUCCAGUAUACUGAAAGUAUGCCUGUAUAUCCAUUACAAUGCAAUAGGAAUUCUUUCUGUCAAGUCUGACAUUUGGAAAUUAUAGUCUUUAGAGAAAAGAAACUUACUUGUUUAAGAUUGGAGUUGAGUGGAGGGGGAGGUGACUCGCACAACUAUGCUUUUACUUAGUUGAGCCUCAUUGUGUGAGUGUCUUACAAUGGUUCUUGUAUGAAAAGUACUGAAAAAUACAUACGUGACUUCCUCAUGGUCAUAUCAGCUUGGCAAUGCAGCUGAUGAACCAUAUAAAAUAGCACACUUUUUCUUAACUGCUGAAUGCACAAUUUAAUAUAAUUCCUACUAUUCUGUUCCACAAGAUGAUGGUGCACCAAGAACUGAACAAUCCACUCUCCCCCUUCAGAGCUGCUGAAACGUGCGGUUUUGCAUUGCCAUUCAUCUAGUCCUUGUAACAAGGUCAGCAAUGAAAGCAUUCAAGAUGAAAACGCACAGUCGAAUGAAAUGUAGGAUCAACAAUCUCUGAUGAAACCAUAGCGGAAUGUCUUUGUUGCUGUUAUUAAUGGUGAUGUGCUAUCUAGGUUUAAGAACAGUGCUUGAAAUGGCCUUAGAAAGUGUGUUUAAAGAAGAAAUGAUAGCGAUUCAUGGUAACUGAUGAACAAAGGCAUAGCUACAGAGAGAGGCUACGCAAGGCUAUUUUGAAAUGGGAAUUCCUGUCUCUUUCUGCUGCAUCACAUGCUGAUGAGGAUGCAAAACCCCACGUUUCAUCAGUUCUGACAAGGAAAGUGUGGAUUGUUCAAUUCUCCAUGUAUGAUCAUCAUAUGGACUGGAAGAAUACGAAUGAUGUUAAAUUGUGCGUUUGGAAGUUAAGAACAAAAUCUAUGACAUUUCAUAGUCCAUCAGUUGCACUGUCCCUCUCGCAGGACUGUGGACACCUCUAGUAUUCUUUCCAGAAUUGCAUUAGCAUCCUUGUGAGGUACUAGCAACAGUUCAGGUAGCAGCAGAUGGUGUGCAUUUCUGUUUAUUAAAAAUAAAUGCAUCGGUUUUAACACAAACAGAUGCAGCACCAGGCUGCUAACAUGACUAGAGAAAUAAAAAUAAAUAAGGAGGACAUUUAGAGAAAUAAAAAAAUAAGGAGGGUAUUUAAAAAGUCAUGGUUGUUUAACUUGGUGAAAAAUAUAAAGUAUGACUUAAUAAAUGGUUGGGGAUUAUUUCUUUGCCGUUGUUUGAAAUGAAAUGGGGGACUAUUAAAUGGUCGUGCACAGAUUUGAAUUUGACAUCUUAAAGAUUUCAGAAGGGGGAGUUAAAGGAGGUGUUGCUGCAUCCUUCCUUAUGCUGACAGGGCAGAGGACCUGUUCCUGUCUCAGCACGAGACCGGGAGCAACCCGAGGCCCCCCUCCUCUACAGUGCGGACGUGAGGAGCAGGGCCGGCCCCGCCUGCAUUGGCUGCCCCUCGGCCGUGUCCGUUAACGCCUCACAGCCCCUCACGCGACGCCGCCUAACGGUUACAACGGCCGCGGCG